AACCUCCCCCAAGGAGAAUCAUUUCUAUAGUAAUCGACCCAUCUCUUGGUUCCCCAAAAGAGCCACAGAAUCCACCCUGGUUGAUGAGUGCAUAUCCUCGACACCCUAGAGUGAAUACUUUUCUUCUGGUCCUCUCGAACUGUCCGAAAGGAUGGCGGCUUGACUUUCGGGUCAAUGCUGUAUAGAGAGAUGCGCGAGUUAGUGAUUGGCUGGCUUCGGCUGGUUCAUGUCGACUUGCACCUUUUUGAUGAUCUCGACCCUAUUGGCGGUCUGCCUUCGGGCGCGCUGGUAGGGUGGGUGUUGAUGGACGUCUGACAGGC
rfam:Beauveria bassiana D1-5 contig00717, whole genome shotgun sequence.